UAGCUCCCCCUUGUCCGACCAGCCGUCACGUCCUGUAACCAAAAGUGACCGGGAUGAAUGUCUGGCUCCC
ensembl:misc_RNA